GACGAACGCUGGCGGCGUGCCUAAUACAUGCAAGUAGGACGCAGUUGUGAACGCGUGAGUAACGCGUAGGUAACUACCUAUUAGAGGGGGAUAACUACUGGAAACGAUAGCUACUACCGCAUACUAGUAGAUGGAUCUGCGUUGUAUUAGCUAGUAGGUCGGGUAAUGGCCUACCUAGGCAACGAUACAUAGGCGAGCUGGGAGGGUGGACGGCCACAAUUGGACUGGGGACAGGGCCAAGCUCCUACCGGAGGCAGGAGUAGGGGAUCUUCGGAAAUGGGGGGAACCCUGACCGAGGAACGGCGCGGGAGUGAAGGAAGGUUUCGGAACGUAAAGCUCUGUUGUUAAGGGAGCGGUACUUAACCAGAAAGGAACGGCUAACUACGUGCCAGCAGCCGCGGUAAUUC
rnacentral:rRNA from 1 species